AUUCAGGGACAUCUUGGACUCUGGCUACCACAGUAAGUCAAUGCUUUUGAUAAAGUGUUAAGUGAGCAAAAUAAAGAAUAUAUGUAUAGCUUAAUUAUUCAAAAAAUGCAAAGAAGGCAAUGUAAGCAUACCAGAAUUUUAACUAUGCUUAUAUUGGUUGCAUGACUAUAGUUUGUUUCAAUGGUUUUAUAUAGUCUUUGAUAUUUCAUAAGAAUUUUAUGAUUAGAAUGUAUUUUAUUAUGUUCUUUCUAAAUGUUAAAGAAGCUUAGAAAACACAUUGAGUUAUUAAUUUUAAUUACUUUUACAUUGCGUAUGAAGAUGUUCAAUAAAACUCAAGUCCUCUACUAAAAAAAAACUGAAGUAUUUUACUAAUUUAAUAUAACUAGUUAAGCUUAGGACCAAGAGAUUAUAAUUUGACUUCUUUUUAAACAGUUCCUUAUGUUCCCUAGCAUAAGUAUUUUAUAGAUAUUCAAACAUAAUAACUAAACCCCUAGGUCGAUGAUCAUUAAAAUAUUUUUGCUAUUCAGUUUGCCCACUUUAUAAAAAGGUACUAUGUGCCAAGGCUAAACAUUCUCUAAGGUAACAUUUGAACUCUAAAAUUCAUUGAUUUUUAGAAGAUAUUUAUUAAAUAAUAAGUAUUUAAAGCACAGUACUUUCUUAGUCAGCUGUACUGCAGUCCAAGAUUCAUGAGGAAUUUAAAGGUGUUUUUGGAAAGAGAAGUUGGUGCAGAUGUUUAUUUUUCACUUGCACCAUGAAAUCUAGGCCCUGCCUAAGCACAGUGGAGGUUGGCAUUUGGAGAUGUGAAAAGCAAUACGGUUUUCUGCAGCAUUCAUUGGGUUUCAGUAGCCUGCUACAUGGAGUGGCGCAUAUUUGUGAAUUCAUUUAGUCCUGAGCAGUGUCUAUAGAUACCCCAACAAAGAUCUUUCCUGGUGUUUGAAUGUUUACUGGUAUUUCCUUCUGCAGGAUGUCCGCUCUGCUUGUCUUACCGCAUGAGAGAGUGCAGAUGUUCCUGAAAGCAUCUUUGCGUGGAUUUGCUUGAAGCGAGAUGUGAGAGAAGGGGCAAAGCUCGAAGGGAGCUGCUAGAGAGAGAGGAAAGCAGCUGGACAGGGCUUUCCUGAUGACUGAAAUCUUAUUGUGGAUAAUGGAGAUCAGGUCCUGUGGUGGUGGAUCUAAUGGAAGGAUCCUAGGUCUCUGAAUCACAACGUG
rnacentral:lncRNA from 1 species